AUCAUAACUUAUUAUAGAGUGCUUGGCAUGCAUCAGGGUCCAUUUCAAACACUUCAUACAUUUUAAUUGUCAAAACCAGCUUUUGAGGCGUCCUUAGCAUUCCAAUUGCUUUUGAGAUGGCAAGAGACAUGGAGAGGUUAUAUGAGUUACCCAAGGUCAUACAGCCUGGGUUGCAUUCAGCCUGCUUAAGCACAGACCCUGUCUGCUGGCUGAAUCCUGACAUUAAUCUGUUUUCCAGUAAAUGAGUCCCAUGCCAAAUGCCCUGAAGUGUUGAACCUCAGGGACAAAGGCAGAGACACACUGGCCCCUUUAUUAUUAAUUUCAUCAUCACACUCGUCUUUUAGGGAGUCCCUCUGAGGUCAGCAAAUAGACACUGUGCAAGCCUACAAGCCCAAGUGUGAUUGAGAGUUUUUUAUGUUUGUCCAGGACACAGGUUCAUACAUGAAUGACCCAGCGUGACUCUGGCAUGUGGCUGAAGUUUCCCCAGGGACACCAGGCAGGAGAGCUGAGACUUGACGUCGGCUGGCCUCAAGAGACCUUGGAGUCGGUGAGGACCACGUACUGCCUGGGGAGGCAGGUCUACCUUUGACCCCAGCCCUAGGGCAUGCUGGGAGAAAGAGCGAGACUGAGGCUGGAGAGGGGAAGACAGCACCCAGGGUGGUACCAUUGAUGACUCAGGUUCCUCCUCUGCUCUGGCCGUGCCCCUCGCAUUCUGUCUCCCUGCAACCCUGAUCAAGUACUGACUGUGGGCACUCGGUGGAUGCACUGGGACUCAUGAACCUACAUCUGCCCCCAAGGGAGUUUAUCGCCCACAGCGGGCAGGAGCCUGGCUGGGGCUGCAAGAAGCAGCUGUGGCAGCUGAGUGAGAGGGGAAACUCUUACUAGAAUAUUUGGGCUGGCAAGUGACACCACUUCUGCUCUGAGAUAAGAUGGAGACUUUUCCAAGCUAUGUUUUAAAAUCAUAAAAAAACAGAGUCUCCUGCUGGAGAUAAGAUAUAAGUUGGUGUGGAGCAUCUGGGAGCUGUAAAAGAGGAGGGUUAUACCAGCAUUACUGAGGUUAUUACUGAAACCAAGAUUAUAAGUAAUUAAAGUUUUGAAAGUUUUCUCCAGGUACACAAUAGACUACUCAGUAUGUUGGAUUCUUGAGCUGGGGUCAGGUUAACUAUUAAAAGAGGAUGAAAAGUAUUUCUAACAAACCUGACAUUUAUUUAAAACCUACCCUAUUCCUGCUGUUUUAGCAGAUAUCGCUUUAAGCUGUGGCUCUUUUCCUGGCUCUCGGGACUUCUAAUGUUGAUUCACUUCCAUGCCUACUUCAUGGUGCUUUACCUCAUUUCGAUGUUAAAUUAGCCUGCUUGUUAUCAUGCUGGAAUGGAUGGUCUUCACCACGCUGUCUCCUGGGAUCCAACAAACUCAGAGCCUUCGGAGAAACAAGGACCAACCUUCAUAGCAUUUCUUCUCCAACUAUAACUCCUUUUGCUAGAAGCAAAUGCUGGGCUUGCACGGGAGAUUCUUGUCCCCCCCUCCCUUUUUUUUUCUCAGAAAGAGCAAAUUGCAUUUUUCAUUGCAGGAGCACACAAGCCCUAACUUUCAUGUGCCUAAAAUGUUCUUUAAUCGGCGUCUUCUUUCAGUAUCUUUGAUCUGCAGGAUGUAAUCACAUUUUCCUUGAAGAUAUAAAUCAUCCAAAAAAAAAAAACACAGAAGAGGAGAAAUGCCCUUAAAUAG
ensembl:lncRNA